ensembl:lncRNA
CUGGAGAUCAAAAUAACAGCCACAAAUUUCUGGUCCUGUGAACCUGACCUUUAGACCAGUACUGUAUUUCUGACCCAGACCUGCCCAGAACCCAGCAAAAUAAGGUUAUACUUUCUGCCUGGUCUUUCAGAAUAAUAAUUAACAGUAGUGCUCUGAUCUCUUUGAACUAUUUUAAUGAGGAAAUGCCAAAGUAGGUGUGAACUAUGGAAUCUCUGAACGGGAGCACCUGGCAAAGGUCACCUUUAAAUUGAAGCACAAACCUAUUCCUUUGGGUUAAGUUGGUGCUUUGGUCUUACUGCAGAAGUUGGCACACCUGGGCUGCUGGCCGUGUUACCCAGGACUCACCUCCUUGCGAUUCUUUCUGGUGAGGCUCUGCCAUGCUUGAACCAGGGCAUCCUUUCUCUUGGAUGUCUACCAAUGGGAAAGCAAGUGCUCACAGAGGAAGCCUGGCUGAAGCAGCAAUGAGUUUUCUGAUGUGCCCUGAAUCAAUUGGUUUCAGCAUUCUCUCAGUAAUUUGGACACCUCGGUGCUGUACAGAAGGCCUGUGAUGUAAUACACCUCAAAUUUGUUAUACUUCACUGGCUCUGCUUCUGGGGAACAGAUAAAAGAACGAGGCAAACCUUGAUGUGAGGAUAUAUCCAAAACAUGGAACUUCGACUCUUGGUGUGAUUUAUAACAGGUCACAGGAGGACCUGCAGUUCAGGUACAGCUGACAUGUCAGAGCCUACAGUUACUUUAGGAAGCACAAAUUCAUCUGAAAUGCUGUGUCAGAGCAUCCUGCUGAGUUCCCUCUCCUGCACAGAAGCUCUACAACAGGCGCACUGCGUUGGAAGCGCCUGUCUCGGGAAAGCAGCCACUGCUACACUAACAUCUCACGUAGUGCUCUGCACUCUUGUUUUAGGAGGAACUGCAUUUGAUUCUGUAAAACAAACGGUCUCCUAAGAGCAUAUUCUGCUGGCAUUGAAGCACAGACAGCAUUCUCCUGUCUGCACUGCCAGGAUCACUCUGCUUGCAGCACACAGAGCCGGUAGAGCCAGGGAAGGAGCCUGGCUGAGCGAGGUGCACCAAGGCCAAAUGCCAUCAGGGCAGAGUGGAGCUGGGGGUCCAUUCCUUGUGCUGUUGGUGUGAAUAGGGCUGCAUGGCCGCUGCUCCCUCCGCUCCAAUAAUAAAGCCUGUUAUGGGAAGGCAGGGAGGGAUCUUUUGGCCAGAUCAGAAGCAUCCACUUUGUCAAACAGCCGCAUGCUAGCUGGCUUAAUGGAAAUUAGCUGUGGCACUGCAGGACAGGAGAAGAUGCCUUUUCAUGAAUAAAUGAAAUGCAUGAGCGAUGCUUCCUUAAAAAAAAGGAUAAAAAUAGAAUCUGAAAUGUGAAGUCUGCAGCAUGCAGGCACGGGAGGUGUGUCCUGACAAAGCUAACAGAGUGCAGUUCUGACAUGGACUGCUUGCACAGGCUUGCCUGGGAGGGAGGGGGUUAGUUCAUGGGUGGGGGAGGGAUCCUGAAUUAACUGAGCAGUCAGUAACCAGAGCUAAUAAGGACACCUUUACCAUCCGUGUGGAGGGUUAUUUCAGUAUGCUGUAUUUGCUUUAGAAGGCACUCGAGGAAUUUUGCAAAUUACAAUGGUCUGUUCAAACUAUUUCUGCCAUUUAAAGAAGAUGUAAAUAAGUCAAAUGACCGUUACAUGCCAUGAUUCUAUGAUUACUUCCUCUGCUUUCUCCCAGAUCUCAGGUCUGGAAGAUGCAGCAGACAUUACGGACUUAGCGAUUGCUCUUUUUUCAGGGGCUCCCCCAGCCCAGUGCAGCCAAACUCAGGACGCUGUGGAGAUGGGGACCCCAGCAGGGGUCAUGGUGAGGUGAGGCAUCAUGCAGCCCAGGGGUGGCCCAGCCCCACUGCCCUGCCAGCUGCUCACCUCCCCUCUACCCACCAGCACAGGCACAGCAGGCUGCCAGCUUCCCACUGCUGUUUCCCCUCCCCAGGCACAGCAGACACACUUCUUCCAUUUUCUUUCUCCACUGCACAUGAUUCAGAGGUCUGUUAUUUCCUUGUUCUCUCCUCUGGCACCCCAGAUGGUUCAGGGAUGGCAAGUAAGCAACACAGAUGCAGGGAAGGCAAGUAAAUACCACAAUUUAAAGAAGUACUUUAAACUGAGAAUGUCCAGAAAUGUAUUCAAGGAAUUGAUCUGUUUUAAAGGCGAAGCAUUGUAAGAACUCCUAGUUUGCAAUAAGUCUCACUGACUCUGCACUUAGCAGGAACAAUUUCCUUCCCUUCCUGCGAGCAAUGUGAUCUGAGCUGCCCUGAAUGGGAAAUCAGUUAGGCUGACAUCUAAAACCUCUUUCUUUGGGGAAAAUGCAGUCUAGGCAGAAUCACAGAAUCUCAACAUCAUUUGAGUUGGAAGGGGCCUUUCAAGGCCCUCUGGUCCCACUCCCUCAGUGCAGAGGGACGCCACAGUUCCAUCAGUGCUCAGAGCCCAUCCCCUGACCUUGGCUGUCUGCAGGGAUGGGGCAGCCCCACCCCUUUGGGGAGCCUUUGCAGUGCCCCACUUCCCUUAGCAUAAAGAACUUUUUCCUUGUAUCUAGUCUAAAUGCAGGCUCCCACCUUAAAGCCAGGACUCGGCAAAAGCUCCAGGACAUUACAGGUGCCCCUAAGUCUCAAAAUUCCCACUGGUAUUCCACUGAAACUCCUGUAGGUGCACAGAACUCUGUUGUCUCCCUCUAGCCUGUGUUGCUCAGCCAAGUGUGACAUUACAGGAGCUCAGGCUUUGUGCCCACACCCAAAUUCCAGGUAAGAGCUCAGCCCUGAGCACAGGAUGUGCUGUUUCCAACCCGCUUCACCGAGCUGUGAACAUCAAAUACUGCUGAUGCUGAAAGUAGAAUUUAGUUGUAAAGCUGACCUCAACUUCAUGGAAGAAAAAUCUACUGGAGAAUACUACAUGCUGAUAACAUCAGUGCAGCUCUGGCCUCACUGCCCUCCCAGACACACUGCUGGAGGCUGGGAUGUGCUCAUGUGUUACUGUCCUGGCCCAUCUCAGGCUGCAGGCCCAGCAGUGCAGGGGACAGCUCUGGCUGCUGCAGCUCUGCUCCCUCUGGCUCUCACGCAGAGACCAAAGACCUGUUGGGUGUAUUUCUGGGAAAGCAUUGUCCAGCUCCUCUCACUGCAGCCCAACCCCGGCACCUAUAAUCUCCCUCACCUCUACUCCCCCACCAAGCUGAGACCAAACAGCAGAGCAAUACUGUUAUUACAAGAAGCAAUUACAUUCACUCCUCUGAAGUUCCUCAUCGCUUGUCUCCCAGCACACACUGAUGCUGAGAAGAUAUCAAGCUCUCAGAAUAUUCUUUUUAACUUUCAAAGCUUUCAAUCUUUAAAUACAUCAUUGUCUUUAUCUCCUAAGACCUCUCGGUGUGAUAGUCUUGGUUUUCAAAGCGAGACAUGAGGAAUUCCUGGGCAGGGCCAAUUACCUAACUGCAUCUUCCCCACUCUUUUCAAUAGUUGAUAGCAAAAGCAGCUUUAUCCACAGAGCCAUGCUGUUACUGUGCUGUACUGCACACAACAAAGAUACUGGAGGUAAUUCAGAGAGAUAAUACAAAAAUAUAGAAUGCUGGCAAUCUGGACAAGUCUUUUUUGAGUACAUAAGGAAAAGAAAAAACAACAAAGUUAAGAAGAAAUAAGAAUGGAAGCAUAACUGAGACUAGAAGAAGGACAAACACUGCGGCUGUUUACCAAACAGAUAGAAGAGAAUUGCUACACUCCUGGCCAUCCCAGCCAGACAGUGCACCUCACAGCUGCUUACUGGGUGUGCCUUUGUGAGGUUGCACUCCAAUGGGAUUGCUGAGAUAAACCACCAACAGUAAUAAUAAUAAUUAAUAAUAGUAAUUUCUUUUUAAUCCAUAUCUAUCAGUAGAUCUAUAACUUACUGCACUAGUGACAUGGCGGAGGAGGAGUGGGUGUUAAGAGGUGAAUCAGGGAGAAGGAGGAGGGCUGUAGAGAAGCUCUGCCAGCAGGAAGCAUUUGUACGAAGUCAGCUCCGAAUGGGGUAACCACGUUCUUCCAAUGGCCAGGUCUGCAAGCUCAGGACAAAAAGAGGAAAUCCCCACCAGCAUGGUCAUUCUCGCCUCUGGUCAGACACAGGUUCCUCUUUUCUAUCUAAGUGCAAAUGCUCAUCAGGAAAAUGCAAAACUGUUCUGAAAAUCACAUAUUUUCUCUGACAUCACCUUUCUGGAGUAUGAGCUCAUAAGUGCAGAAGGUGGCACCAUGCUUCGAGAGAGCUGUUCUUUCUGUGGGCAUAUCUUGGUUUUAUGACAUCUGAAUGACCGGGUCCUUACUGUACUCUUCAGCACAUGUAAUAUCAUUACGCCUUGCAAUUUAAUAUCUUAUUAAAGAUAUCAGGGUCACGGUUCCCAGUAAGUGCUGCUUGCAUUUUUUUUCCCUUAAAUAUAUUAAGAUUAAAUUCAAUUGAAAUUAAAACAAUAUAAAAGUUACUAAAAAAAUCCCUAUAAAUGGAGUCUGAAUUUCUAUGGCUAUUACCUCAUUUUACACUUCAGACUUAUCUUUGGGUGACAGGAAGCCAAAAUUCUGAAAUGGUUUAAUUAGACUGAAAAUUAUAUUUAAUAAAGUUCUGCUGAAGAAAUACAAGUAAAUGCUAUUAACUUCCCUGAGAAUUGGAUGUGAAGAGUGAGAACAGGACCCUGCAGUUAUAGAGAGAAGGGCCUCACAGCAAGAAAAGGGAAAGUAGCUUCACAAAGUAGAAAUAAGGGGCAAAUAGAGACAGUUUAUGUAGAGAGUGUUAGAAAACAAGGGAUUCGCACUUUCGCAGACACCAGGUCUGGAGUAACAAGGAGGAUGAAGGCCAUAAAGAUAAGGACUGGAGAGCAGCUUGAAAACAUUUGGCGGGGGGGUGAUUAGAUGUCUACAGGCAAGCUGCAACCGGUUUGGGGGAUGCCCCCCCCUUCAGGAUCAGAAGAUUGCAGUGAGGAAGACUACAAGCCUUCGUGAGGAAGACUACGAGCCUUCAUCAUCAUGACCUGCUACGCACGC